rnacentral:rRNA from 1 species
GACGAACGCUGGCGGCGUGCUUAACACAUGCAAGUCGAACGGAAAGGCCCUGCUUUUGUGGGGUGCUCGAGUGGCGAACGGGUGAGUAACACGUGAGUAACCUGCCCUUGACUUUGGGAUAACUUCAGGAAACUGGGGCUAAUACCGGAUAGGAGCUCCUGCUGCAUGGUGGGGGUUGGAAAGUUUCGGCGGAUGGGGAUGGACUCGCGGCUUAUCAGCUUGUUGGUGGGGUAGUGGCUUACCAAGGCUUUGACAGGUAGCCGGCCUGGGAGGGUGACCGGCCACAUUGGGACUGAGAUACGGCCCAGUCUCCUACGGGAGGCAGCAGUGGGGAAUAUUGCACAAUGGGCGGAAGCCUGAUGCAGCAACGCCGCGUGCGGGAUGACGGCCUUCGGGUUGUAAACCGCUUUCGCCUGUGACGAAGCGUGAGUGACGGUAAUGGGUAAAGAAGCACCGGCUAACUACGUG